GGAAAGUCGAGUUAACCCACACGCGGCUGUUCUUUCGGCACAAUUAUUAACCUGAAAUGGCCCGAUCGUGUUGUGUGAGAGGCUGCCAGUCCCGGCAUGGCAGAUCGGGGGACGAAGGAAUCCGUUUUUUCCGUUUUCCAACCUGGAAACGAUCACACGGACCUCAAUUGGAGGAAAUAACAAAGAGACGUCGCAUGGCCUGGCUUUCAGCAGUGAGGAGAAAGGAUCUCAUUUUCAACAAAACAUUCCCCCACAUGUGUGUUUGUUCUCGGCACUUUCAUAAAGGUGAGCCAGCUUAUGAGAUGAUGGAGAGUGAC